rnacentral:lncRNA from 1 species
UCUGCUCCUCAUGCAUAGAUUUUGAUGGAGAUCGAAGAGGAAGAAUAUCUGCGACGGCCUCCGCCUUUGAAGGCAAAGGGCCUCGACUGGUGAAAGUACUGUCGAUUUCAUCGAGGCCAUGGCCAUAACAUCGAGCAGUGUAUCCAACUUAGGGAUGAAAUCGAGGCUCUCAUACACCGAGAGUAUCUCAAAAAAUUUCGAAAAAAAUCAUCGACUCGACCCAUCCCCGACCGACGAUCCCAACCGACUGAGGAGGCAGCGAACAAUCAGCCCACGGCCAGAGUCAUCAACAUGAUCUCCAAACGACUAGACUAGGGGACGAUUGCUGGAGGGGAGUCAACGAAGAAGUUGC